rnacentral:rRNA from 1 species
AAAAACGGUCAGGACCCUGAACAAGCCGGAUCCUGUCUGAUCUCGGAAGCUAAGCAGGGUCGGGCCUAGUUAGUACUUGGAUGGGAGACCACCUAGGAAGACCAGGUGCUGUAGGUG